rnacentral:rRNA from 1 species
AGAAUCAACGCUGGCGGCGUGCCUAACACAUGCAAGUCGCACGAGAAAGGGACUUCGGUCCUGAGUACAGUGGCGCACGGGUGAGUAACACGUGAAUAAUCUACCUCCGAGUGGGGAAUAACUGAGAGAAAUCUUAGCUAAUACCGCAUAACACUUACGAGUCAAAGCAGCAAUGCGCUUGGAGAGGAGUUCGCGGCAGAUUAGUUAGUUGGCGGGGUAAUGGCCCACCAAGACGAUGAUCUGUAUCCGGCCUGAGAGGGCGCACGGACACACUGGAACUGAAACACGGUCCAGACUCCUACGGGAGGCAGCAGUGGGGAAUUUUGCGCAAUGGGGGAAACCCUGACGCAGCAACGCCGCGUGGAGGAUGAAAUAUCUUGGUAUGUAAACUCCUUUCGAUGGGGAAGAUAAUGACGGUACCACAGAAGAAGCCCCGGCUAACUUCGUGCCAGCAGCCGC